rnacentral:rRNA from 1 species
UACGAAGGGGGCUAGCGUUGUUCGGAAUCACUGGGCGUAAAGCGCACGUAGGCGGAUUUUUAAGUCAGGGGUGAAAUCCCGAGGCUCAACCUCGGAACUGCCUUUGAUACUGGAGAUCUUGAGUCCGGAAGAGGUAAGUGGAACUGCGAGUGUAGAGGUGAAAUUCGUAGAUAUUCGCAAGAACACCAGUAGCGAAGGCGGCUUACUGGUCCGGAACUGACGCUGAGGUGCGAAAGCGUGGGGAGCAAACAGG